rnacentral:rRNA from 1 species
UACGUGAGGGGCGAACGUUGUUCGGUGUCACUGGGCUUAAAGGGUGCGUAGGUGGUUGCGUAAGUAAGGUGUGAAAUCCCUCGGCUUACCCGGGGAAUUGCAUUUUAUACUGCGUGGCUUGAGGACUAAAGGGGAAAAGGGAACUCCAGGUGUAGCGGUGAAAUGCGCAGAUAUCUGGGGGAAGGCCGGCGGCGAAGGCGCUUUUCUGGUUAGUACCUGACACUGAGGAACGAAAGCUAGGGGAGCGAAUGGG